CCCUUAGAUGUUCUGGGCUGCACGCGUGUUACAAUCGGGAGUACAACAAGAUUGCAAAUCCUAGUGGAUGAGUGGUUCUUCGAAAUUUUCUGAAGACUGGGAUAGUUGAUUGAAAUUAUUCAACUCAACCGAGGAAUUCCUUGUAAUUGUAAUUCAUUAUAUUGUAAUGAAUACGUCCCUGCCCUUUGUACACACCGCCCGUCGCUCCUACCGAUUGAACGAUCCGGUGAAUUAUUUGGAGUAGCUCUGGAAGUUGCAGAACUUCCUAUGUCACGAAAUUUUGUAAACCUUAUCGUUUAGAGGAAGGAAAAGUCGUAACA
rnacentral:rRNA from 1 species